rnacentral:rRNA from 1 species
UACGUAGGGUGCGGGCGUUGUCCGGAAUUAUUGGGCGUAAAGAGCUCGUAGGCGGUGUGUCGCGUCGGCCGUGAAAACCUGGGGCUUAACUCUGGGCGUGCGGUCGAUACGGGCAUCACUAGAGUUCGGCAGGGGAGACUGGAAUUCCUGGUGUAGCGGUGAAAUGCGCAGAUAUCAGGAGGAACACCGGUGGCGAAGGCGGGUCUCUGGGCCGAUACUGACGCUGAGGAGCGAAAGCAUGGGUAGCGAACAGG